rnacentral:lncRNA from 1 species
UUAAAAUCAGGUCUCUCGGAUAUCGAGUCCUGUGCUAUCUCUAAGGCAAAUCCCAAAGUUUUCUCAAUUAUGGUAUGAAACACGAGUGUUUAGGGAGUUCCCAUUGUGGCUCAGUGGUAGUGAACCCAACUGGUAUGCAAGAGGAUGUAGGUUUGAUCCCUAGCCCCCUCAGUAGUUAAGCAUCAGGCAUUGCCUUGAGCUGUGGUAUAGUUUGCAGACACCUGUUGGAUCCCGUGUUGCUGUGGCUGUGGCAUAGGCCAGGAACUGCAGCUCUGAUUCAACCCCUAGCCUGGGAGCUCCCAUAUGACACAGGUUGUGUGGCCCUAAAAAACAAGAAAACAAACAAACAAACAAAAAACCAGGAGUGUUUAAAUGAAUCUAUACUAACACAGAGCAUAAAUGGAAGUAGACUGUCAACAAAUGUUGAGAACAUCGGGAGUUCCACCUGGUACUGUAAGGUUAGCUGGGUUACAUUUGGGACAACACCUGUAGGCCUGCUAUUUUCCCCUAUUCACGGUCUGUCCUCCUGCAUCCUCCCCAUAAUCUUGCCCCAGUGUUAAUGCUUUAUCUCAGUGUCACUACUGUUUGAGUCCCUGUAUUAGAUAUAAGGGGAAAAAAAGUUCUUACGCUUGAGGAGAGGCAACAAGCAAAUAAGCACAGACAAAACAGCAUACCCCUUCCACACCUCCCUAGGAAAAUGGUAAUGGACACAGUCUGGAAGCUUGGAGACCAACUCCCCUACCUACUAAGGAAAACAAUCCACUAACUCUCAUUCAAAAUAAAGUGCAAACAUAUCAGUGAUAAGGUUUGAAAUGUUACCUUUCGUCAGGAGUAUUUCCAGGGUUUAUAUAAAAAAUAUUUAAAGCCCAGAAUGACUUGAAGACCAACUAAUUAAAACAGGAUGAAUUACAGUCCAGAACCCAAAGACCCCUAAAUGGGCUCAAGGUUAGUUUAGCUGUGGGAGCAUGGGAGGUUCCAGAGGUCCAAGAACAGGGCCUAUGGUGGCUAUGGCUUAGAAGUGGGGAUGGAACGGAUGCACUAGGAAGCGCAAGGCAGUGGCUUUAUUUCUGCAGUCAAAGUCAAAAUCUUCCAGUAUAUUCACAACUAAUAAAUUUCUCUAGUGCCAGUGGAAUACCAGCUCUUUUAUUUGCUUUUAGAGGCCAUUCUCUGUUUCUUGUAAGCCUUGCUGAGAUUUUCCCUAAGCUCCCCUGUGAUAUAUCUGACAUCUGUAGGCCACAGAAAGCGGUGCCCCAGGAAUCACUUCACAUGUAUAGCUACCUGCUCUUGAAGUGGGUCAACCACAUAUCAGCAGGACUGACAGAAACCUUAGAAGAUGUUUUCGUGUUAAAAAUUUGGUCAAAGGAGAGCUUUCAACUUGUGAAAACUCCUCAUUUUACUUUAGUGAAAUACUAAUAGAUGCAGCAGUGUUAAAACUUUUUUAUGCUCUAUCCUUGACCAAUCCCUUUCACAGUGUUAUUCCCUUUUCACUUUGACUGUAUGGAUUUUCCAGGGCUGCUAUCACAUCAUCCCCAUUUAACAGACGAGGAAAUGGAAGCACAGGAAGGAUAAUGACUNNNNNNNNNNNNNNNNNNNNNNNNNNNNNNNNNNNNNNNNNNNCAGCAGGUGACAAGAGUCAGUGAGUACAGUGAGGGCUUUAGGGUCUGACAAGCUGGAAUUGAAAUCUGUCUCCAACUCUACUGCUAGACAACUUCAAAUGUGUUCUAUUUUAAUCACUUGAGUCUCAAUUCCUCAUUGGUAUAUUAGGGACAUCAGAACUUACCUCUUGAGUUGUCUUGUGGUUUAAAUGAGGCAAAUGUUUGGAAACUACACAGUGCUUGGCACAUAGUAAGCCUCAAUAAAUGGUGGCUACUCUUGUAAAUAAGUCAUUCAGCAACUUCUGACACAAAGGCCUCUUCUUUAACACAUAUCACCCUUUUUUUUACAUCUACUCAUAAUACAGUCGAAAACUCAACCUCCUGGAGUUCUCUGGUGGCUCACUGGGUUAAGGAUCCAGUGUUGUCACUGCAACAGGAAGAAACAAACAAAGUCCUAUUGUAGAAUUAAGACAGAAUCCUGAAAAUUUGAAAUAGCAACCAUUGCUGGUAUAUUCUUUUAGUAUCAAAUGCUGUGUGAUAAUAUUUACAUAGUUUAGUGCCAAUGAAAAAUACUAAGGAAAACAAACACAUAUAAACAAAAAUACUUGCUUCAUGUUUAGAGUUCUAACAUAUGAAUCUCUCCAUUCUACAGAGUAUUACACACACUUGUCAAAUAGAGAACUUGAAACUCCAUAUCAUAGUUGGAUAUUGAUUAAGUUCACAGCCAAACUAUUGAGGCUAGUAAAGUUACAGAGAAUGGUGGUGCACUUAUACAGCACUUCUUUAAGAAGAAGGUUUAUCUUCUUACAUCUUCUUUGUUCAAUAAACCUUUCUACACAAUUUUUCUAUUGGAUUUUCCAAGCCGUCAACCUGUGGACUUUAACUCCUUACCUUUCGUGUGUUUCUUUUUUUGGAGGGGUGGGUGUAUACAUUGGGCAAAAAGAUGAGUUUUUCAUAGUCUCCUGAACCUAAUAAGAUUUGUGUGUAUCUUCAGAAGGUGCAAAUUUCACGGUCUAGGAGGGAAAAUAUUACAUUUGAAAGUCUUUUCUAAGAUGAUUGGAAAAAUUGCCAAAACAAUUCAAGAAUGGUUUGGAAGACAGAGUAUAGGUUAAAAUAGGGAUGUAAUUCUUAUCUCUGUAUUUUAUUUGAGGCAAUCUCCUCCUUGCUCUGUGAGUCAGUAUCAUUUUGCUUUACUCUGAAUUUUAAAAUGUGUACAUAUCCCUUGACACUGUGAAUGCUUCCUGAGUUUCUUGCAUACAGACUUGCUGGUCACUGCUACCAAAAAUUCACUCCCUCUCUGGGUCUCAGCGGUGGUCACUGGUUGACAACUGCUUUAGAAGAGGUGACUUCUCUCACCUCUUCCCAUAGGAGCUCUGCAAGUCUGGAUUUCUCAACCCACCACAACCAUCUGUGAUUAAUUAGUUGUCUAAGUUUAUCGAAAUAAUAGGGCCAGAUACACAAUUCAGUUGUCCCCUGACAUGUAAAAAUACAAGGCUGCUACAAAUUUCAGUGGGUGACAGUACACGAAAUUACUACCUAAAACAAAAAUUCCAUUCUGAAGCAUUCCUGGACUUCCAAAUGUUGGAAUGUCACCCUCCUUUUCAGAGGGAGAGUUUAAAGGUCAAGUGAAAUUUGCAGAAGUGCUGCCAUAUUUACCAUCCCUUAGACCUAGUCCUCCAUUCUAAUUAAAGAGUUAAUCUGUGCAGUUAGCUCCUCCCAAAGUGCAAAUCGUCCUCCGAGAGAGGAUCUUUGAGCCUCUCACCCUCAUUUUUUGCCUCAGAGCCCUGACUAUGUUCUUCCCUGUAUUGGAUUAUGCAUUGGUCCAUUUUAUUUAAAUCCUGGGCGUUCUUCUAAACCCAGGUCAAGCUUUUAUUCCCUGCUAUAGUCCUAACUUCCACCUUCCAUUCUCUGAACACUUAAUGCUUUCACUCAUCAGUUUCACAAAAAAAUCAUUUAAAUGUAUAGCCCCAAAGUGUAGAAUUUAGAAGGAGAGGUAGAUACUACUGGAAACAUUAAUGUAAGGAAAAUUUUCACUCAGAGCAGCCAAAAGGGAAAAAUAGGCCAGCUUGUGAUGUCAGAAUAUUCCUGUCACAGGCUGUAUUUAAGAAUUGGCCAAACAGCGGAUCGGGGAGCCUGAUCUAGAGGGGAUUUGGGUAUUAGAUGGGUUAUUUACAGAACUCUAAGAUCCCUGAGAUUAUGCCAUUUUAUAAUUUUUAAUAGCAUGUAGACUCAAUGAGAAUAGAGAUCUUACCUUACACUGCUUCUGUACCCUAAAAAGCAAGUCAUGUAACAGGGGCUACUUGAUUCUAAAUUGUUUGCUUGCAUUUGUUUUACUAGUUAGUUUCCUCUUACAUCAGGAGGUACAGGGCAGCAAGGAAAACAUUUAGGUGGAGAAGGAGCUUACAAGAAAUGUUACACAAAGCUUACAGCAUAUAUAAAAUAUGCUUAAUUUACAACUCCCUCCUUCAUGUGAUAUCUUUUGUUAUUUUUAAUUCAUAGAGAAAUAUAGUCCAGGCGUUCUUAUUAAGGUGAUGCCAGGUCUGGUUACAGGCAAAAAUAAACAUCUUAAAAUGCAUUCAUAAUAAUAAUAUUUAAAAGAAAUACUUUUCUUUUAUUCUGAAUUAAUAAUUCAGUCUCUGUGGUUUCUUGCUUUUGUUUUUCUAAGGGUGAAAUGAUCAAAAAGAACUCUGCUUGGCCAUACUUUGUUUUUUUAUUUUACUUUUUAAAUUUUUAUUGAAGUAUAGUUGGUUUAUAACAUUUUAGUUUCAGGUGUACAGCAAAGCAUAUAUAUAUUAUAAUAUAUAUAUUACAUACAUAUUAUAAUAUAUACAUGCUUUGUUUUUUUUAAAGAUCUUACUUACACCCUUUCUCAUUUAAUCCUCACAACAGUCUUGUUAGUAAAACAGUCUUGUUGGUUCUUCAAGCUGUCGGUAAAAUAAUACCUUGUCGAUUUUCCAGAGGAAAUUAAGGCUUAAAAAGUUUAAGUGACUCAUCCAAGAUCAUGCAGCCAUUGAUAAAACAUAGUCCUCCUCUUUAGUUUUAGACCCACCAGUUUAAACCAUAAUGCUACUAGAUGCAUAAUGCAAUUAGCAUAUUUGUUUGUUUGUUUACUUAUUUUAGGGCCACAUCUGCAGCAUCUGUAAGUUCCUAGGCUAGGGGCUGAAUCAGAGCUGCAGCUGCUGGCCAAAGCCACAGCCACAGCCACAGCCACAGCAAUGUGGGAUCCGAGCUGCAUUUGUAACGGUAAACCACAGCUCAUAGCAAUGCCGGAUCCUUAACCCACUGAGGGAGGCCAGGGAUAGAACUUGCAUCCUCACAGACACUUUGUCGGUUUCCUAACCAAGUGAGCCACAACAGGAAUUCCCAAUUAGCAUGUUUAUACACUGCAACUCACAAAGGUUUUUAAGUGAGCUUAACCUAGGCAAAAGAGAAAUUUAAAAUACAAAUAGUUUAAUAUGUGAUAUAAAAUUAUUUUCUAUAGCUAAAUGUUACUAGAGUGUGAGACAUAAAUCUGAAUGUGAGGUUUACUGCAUGCACUAAUUUCAAGGAUUAUGGAAAAAAGUGAGGAGAUAUGCUCUUGUUUAAAAAAUCACAGGGCUAUAGAGACAUCUUGUUUUUGAUGUAAGAGAUAGUGUAAAGAAAGAUGCAGAGAAGAAUGUACUUAUACAAAAAAAAUGCAGUAUGUCGAAACUAAGAGUUGUUUAAAAAAAAAUAGUAGAGGGAACCAAGAACAAAAGAUAAAUAAAAGAAUUAAGCAAGAUUAUGAAUUAGCUUUCAUGAAUGAAAAUGAAAGAAUGAAUGAAUAAAAUCAUAGAGAAAUUUUAAACCGAAGUCUCCAAAUACAGAAACUUGGAAGUCACUCUCUCUUAUUCUUCAUAUACAAGAAUGGAUGUUAUGUGCUGGAUAGAGAGCAAGUUCCAGGGUGGAAGGGAUCAGCUGCUUAGGGCUUGACCACUCCUUUCCCUCAGCCGCCCGACACAGUAAGAAACAGGCAGCAGUGUUCGCAAGAGCGGGUAUAUAACCUCACUGAUGUUUUAAGUGGCCAUAAAGAAGCUGGCUGAGCAUGAAAUUUCAUCAUUAAAGUUUAUGCUUUGCGUUGGGGGGAGGGGAGGAGAAACAAAAAUCAAUAUUAGAUAAAAGAGGAGGAGGAGAACAUGAUAACAGCUCAUAUGAGAAAAAAAUGAUGUGGUUCCUAGAAGAUGGUUAAUUUUUAGGGGGAUAAAUGACAUCUGUGAUUUUGAAAGCAGCCUGAGCUGGUGGCUCUUCCCUUCCCUGUGAUCCAGAAUGGAAGAGAAGGAGGGAAAUACCAUAAAGACGCUCUUUUUCUUUCUUUUCUGCUUUUUAGGGCCACACCUGUGGCAUAUUGAGGUUCCCAGGCUAGGGGUCGAAUCAGAGCUACAGCUACCAGCCUACACCACAGCCGCAGCAAUGUAGGGAUCCAAGCUGUGUCUGCAACCUACACCACAGCUCAUGGCAAUGAGUGAGGCCAGGGAUUGAACCCACAUCCUCAUGGAUCUACUCGGAUUCGUUUCCGCUGCUGCGCCACAACAGGAGCUCCAAGAGGUUCUUUUUCUAAACUGAACAUGAUAUGAUAGCUGCUGUUUUGUGAGUUGUGAUGAAAAAAUGCUGACAACCUUUUCUGAACAUAAGGGGAACAGGGUUCCGUUCAAGGAUCUCAGGGAAAAAAGCAUAGUUUGCAUGUAUGUGGUAGUACAAUUAUGUUGAAUUUCUACGGAAAUCUAUUUUUUAUUUUUUUGUCUUUUUGUCCUUUUAGGGCCACACCUGCGGCAUAUGGAGGUUCCUAGGCUAGGGGUCUAAUUGGAGCUGUAGUCGCUAGCCUACACCACAGCCACAGCAACGUGGGAUCCGAGCCAUGUCUGCAACCUACACCACAGCUCAUGGCAACACCUGUUCCUUAACCCACUGAGCAAGGCCAGGGAUCGAACCCGCAACCUCAUGGUUCCUAGUCGGAUUCAUUAACCACUGAGCCACGACGGGAACUCCCUGCUGGGGAAAUUUAUAUACUUACUCAGAUGACAAAAAUAAAUACCAUUUCUUUAACUUUUGGUACCUACUCCAGUAUUUCUCCCAGUCUUCUCUGUGCUCAGUAGACUGAGGUUAGGGUGGAGUUGGGAAGAGGUGUUAGUGUUUAACCAUUAACAGUCUCUUUGUCUCUUCCAGUCAAAAUGGUCUGUUUUGGACAUCCAUCCAGCUGUCUUUUCGGCAAAUAGUGCCAUUCCCACCACCUUCUCCCACGGCAGCCUCACGUCCCAUUUGGCUGCCAGGUGAGAGGCAGGAAAUAGAGUUUUGAAAUAGGCUUGCAUGUCAACAGUGCGGCUCAUUUCUGUAAUCAAGGGGCUGAUCUGAUCUGGGCUUAGGGCUGGUGACCACAGAUGUACUCUCUGGUCCUGCGUGGCCUUUGACAGCGGUUUGCAAGCAGGUACUACUGGACCCUGCUCCUAGUCAUUUGCUUCUUUAUUCCCACUCUGGGGCUCCAGUAAUUUAUUUGCCCUCAUAGCGCUCUCAGGUCAUUUCACACAAAUGCCUGGGCCCCUUGCAUGCCAGAUAUAAGUUUCAGAGCCUUGUCUCAGAACCAUCUCUCUGGCCAAUUUCUUCGCCAGGCCAUCACCAACUUUCCUGAAAUGGACCAAGGCCUUCCAGCACAGCUCUCUCUUUCCACGAAGGAAAAAAAAAAAAAAAAAAAAA